rnacentral:rRNA from 1 species
UCGAGAAUCUUUCGCAAUGGGGGAAACCCUGACGACGCGACGCCGCGUGGAGGAUGAAGGCCUUCGGGUUGUAAACUCCUGUCAGCAGGGGAGAACAAGCUUUUGGUGAAUAACUGAGAGCUUUGACAGUACCUGCAGAGGAAGCCACGGCUAACUCUGUGCCAGCAGCCGCGGUAAUACAGAGGUGGCAAGCGUUGUUCGGAUUUAUUGGGCGUAAAGGGUCCGUAGGCGGCCUGGAAAGUUGGAUGUGAAAUCCCACAGCUUAACUGUGGAACUGCAUUCAAAACUUCUAGGCUCGAGUGUGAUAGGGGUAAAGGGAAUUCCCGGUGUAAGGGUGAAAUCUGCAGAGAUCGGGAGGAACACCAGUCGCGAAGGCGCUUUACUGGAUCACUACUGACGCUGAGGGACGAAAGCCAGGGGAGCAAACG